CGCGCCUGGGGAGGUGGUGCCAGGGCCGCUGUUCCUCUGCCUUUGCCAGGCUGGAGGCUCCUGGCCGCUGCUGCGAUCUCCCUCAGUAGAGCAGAGGAUGCCGGUGAGGCACCCGGCGGCGGGCCGCUGGAGAUCGAGUGGAGACUGGAGCUUUGCAGGCUGAAUCCUUGACCACAGGUGGCGGAGCCGCGGCCUGAGGUGGACUCUGAGGCCGCCAGAGCGGGGUGCUGUGCAGGAACCGUUGGCCCCGGGAGUGAAGGAGCACUUGAGGAGGUUUCAGCAGGCCUGGCGCCCAAGCUCCCCGAGUGUGGAUCUAGGGAUUAGGGACUGGGCGCGAUGAGGAGCAGGAGUAACUCGGGAGUCCGCCUGGACGGCUAUGCUAGGCUGGUGCAUCAGACCAUCCUGUGCCAUCAGAAUCCAGUGACAGGCUUGCUUCCGGCAAGCUAUGACCAGAAAGAUGCCUGGGUCCGAGAUAAUGUGUACAGCAUCCUGGCUGUGUGGGGUUUGGGCAUGGCAUAUCGGAAGAAUGCAGACCGUGAUGAGGACAAGGCAAAGGCCUAUGAACUGGAGCAGAGUGUGGUGAAGUUAAUGAGGGGACUGCUGCACUGCAUGAUGAGACAGGUGGAUAAAGUAGAGUCCUUCAAGUAUAGUCAGAGUACUAAAGACAGCCUGCAUGCCAAGUACAACACCAAAACUUGUGCCACUGUAGUGCGUGAUGACGAGUGGGGACACCUGCAGUUGGAUGCUACUUCUGUGUACCUGCUCUUCCUAGCACAGAUGACUGCCUCAGGACUCCAUAUCAUCCACAGCCUAGAUGAAGUCAAUUUUAUACAGAACCUUGUGUUUUACAUUGAAGCUGCAUAUAAAACUGCUGACUUUGGGAUAUGGGAGCGUGGAGACAAGACCAACCAAGGGAUCUCAGAAUUGAAUGCGAGUUCAGUGGGAAUGGCCAAGGCAGCCCUGGAAGUACUAGAUGAAUUAGAUUUGUUUGGUGUGAAAGGUGGGCCGCAAUCAGUCAUUCAUGUCCUGGCCGAUGAAGUACAACACUGCCAGUCGAUCUUAAAUUCCCUACUGCCCCGGGCUUCAACAUCCAAGGAAGUUGAUGCCAGUUUGCUCUCAGUGAUCUCCUUCCCAGCCUUUGCUGUAGAGGACAACCAUUUGGUGGAGCUCACCAAACAGGAGAUCAUUACCAAACUUCAGGGUCGUUAUGGUUGCUGUCGUUUUCUACGAGAUGGAUAUAAAACUCCUAAAGAGGAUCCCAAUCUCCCGUACUAUGAACCAGCUGAGCUGAAGCUAUUUGAAAACAUUGAAUGUGAAUGGCCAUUGUUCUGGACAUACUUUAUCCUUGAUGGGAUCUUCAGUGGCAACACAGAACAGGGAUUUUUAGCUCCUGGAGAAAUUGAUCCCCUGAAUCGUAGGUUUUCUACUGUGCCAAAGCCAGAUGUGGUGGUUCAAGUCUCCAUUCUAGCUGAAACAGAAGAAAUCAAGGCCAUUUUGAAGGAAAAGGGAAUUGAUGUAGAGACCAUUGCUGAGGUCUACCCCAUCAGAGUACAGCCGGCUCGUAUUCUCAGCCACAUUUAUUCCAGUCUUGGAUGCAAUAAUAGAAUGAAACUCAGUGGACGACCCUACAGGCCCAUGGGUGUGCUUGGAACAUCAAAACUCUAUGACAUCCACAAAACUAUCUUUACUUUCACUCCGCAGUUCAUAGACCAGCAACGGUUUUACUUGGCUCUGGACAACCAGAUGAUAGUAGAAAUGCUCAGAACAGAUCUCUCCUACCUCUGUAGCCGCUGGAGGAUGACAGGCCAGCCCACCAUCACUUUCCCCAUCUCACACAGCAUGCUUGAUGAAGGUGGAACCAGCUUGGAUUCAAGUAUGCUGGCCGCACUGCGAAAAAUGCAGGAUGGCUAUUUUGGUGGGGCAAGGAUCCAAACAGGUAAAUUGUCGGAGUUUUUGACAACAUCUUGCUGCACACACUUAAGCUUCAUGGACCCUGGACCUGAGGGUAAGCUGUACAGUGAAGACUAUGAUGAAGACUAUGAUGAUGAGCUGGAAUCUGACAACUGGAUGAAUAGCUAUGAUGCAACGAGUAAUGCUCGCUGUGGUGACGAAGUUGCUCGUUAUUUAGAUCACCUUUUGGCUCGCACUGUUCCCCAUCCUAAACUCUCUACUACCUCCCGGAAGGGAGGGCUAGAUCGGUUCCAAGCUGCUGUGCAAAUGACUUGCGACUUAAUGUCCUUGGUGACUAAUGCCAAGGAGCUGCAUGUACAGAGUGAGUAAUGCCAUUACUCCCUAGUGUCAGACACAAGGUGGCAUGAAGCCCAAGAUGGGGGCAGGACGUUGAUUACACCAUGAGCAGGAGCUUGGUUUUGUUCACUGCUUUGGUCCCGGCCUCUUGGGCAGCACCUGGAAUUUAGCAGGCACUCAAAUCCAUGUGAAAUCAAUGACGUAUAUAUAGUCUUGAUAUGGAUAUUGGCGUUGGUCGGGUAUAACCAGGAAAACAGCAAGACACAGUACAAAAAAUAGCAUAUUCAAUUUUAAUACAAAAGUCAAAUGGGGAGGAAGAGCUUUCUCAUUUGGAAAAAUUACUUCUUUGAGGGUAAUUUUCUUGUUUAAUGAGAAAGCAUGGUCAUUAGAAUAGUAUAAAACAGGAGAGACAGAAAUAGAGACUGACCCUGCUCUUAAGCUACGACUAGAUCUCACUUUAUGGCCGCUGUAACUGUGCACCCGGCUGUUAUCUCGAAUAUAAUAGUCUUUGUUUACAGCAUCGCCACAGUCCUCUCUCUUACCAGCACCUUCCUUAGUAAUGUGUUCAGUGGAGGACCUUUUCUGUACAUUUGAAUAGUAGCCAUGGUUCCUAAGACUGCUCAUUAUUUCUAAGGUCACUACAUGUGGAGGGAGAGAAAGGCUCCUUGGUCACACCUGGACGACUUGAAUAUUACAUUAUACAGGGGAGGAGAAUGAUAGACGCAUGCUCUUGCUACCUAAAUCCUCAUUGACCAUUACUAACCAGAUACUAAAUGUGAGCACUAGGGAGCUGUUUAAAAUUGAGAACAGGGAAAAGCUUGGUAUACCCUUUGGUUAUGCUCCUUACAGAAAGGGUUUAUGCAAGGACACGAACUUUAGUAAGUUUAGUAAGUCACAUUUAUCACUUGUGAAUCAGGAAACCAGAUUUUAAUUCCAAGAACUGUAAUUUACUUGCUUGACCACUUAUCUGAGCCCUGUAUAAAAUGGGUAAAAUAGGCUGGAGAGAUGGCUCUGCCAUUAAAGGCUAGGCUCACAACCAAAGAUAAAAUGGUGAAAAUUAUAUGCUGGUUCUCCUUAGAGGUUAUGGUAAGUAUUUCAGCUAUGUAAGUGAAACAUCUUAGGACCUUCUCAAAGUUGAUCAGCUCCUACAUGUUUUUUGGUUCUCUAAAUAGGAUCAUCCAGCUCCAGUCUCUAGAAAUCAAAUAUUCACCCACGAAAACCCAGGAAAAGUAAGAUGUAACUGAGUUCCUUCUCUUAUGUGUUUUGUUAUAUGAUGAUAUCAGUGAUAGCAUCAUUGUGAUAGUGAUAAUGUUAGUAAAUAUAUAUCAUAUGUCUGGUUGAUGGUGCAGUUACCGAAAAUCCUUUCAAAAAUAUAAAAAUGUUCAUUGAUUAAUUUGUUGUUGUUUUGAGACAGCGUUUCUCUGUGUAACAGCCCUAGCUGUCCUGGAACUCGCCCUGUAUUGUAAGCUGGCCUCUAACUCGCAGAGAUCCACCUGCCUGUGACCCCCCCAUCACCACCACCUGGCAAAUAAUCGGAUAUUUUUCAAAUUAUCUAAUAUCCACAUUUCUUCUACUGAUAUCGAUGAAGGAAAAUGUCAUCACUUUUGUUCUAAAAACUGCCCCAUGUGUCAGUUUAUUGCUGAGGUCAAUCGUGUAUCUUAUUAAUUUCCUGCUUAUGUUAACUUUUCCCAUGAAUGCCAACUUCUUGCAGAUGUGCACAUGUAUCUUCCUACAAAGUUAUUUCAGCCUUCUCGCCCUUCUCUCAGCUUGCUUGACUCACCUCAGUCUCCACAAGAUAACCAGACCAGUCUGGGGAAGUGGACUUCCAGUUACUGGUUUCCAAGUUGAAGGAGACC